GUUAAUGUAGCUUAAAUAUAAAGCAAAGCACUGAAAAUGCUUAGACGGGUAUUUAUACCCCAUAAACA
rnacentral:tRNA from 1 species